AUUUCCGACCACAUUAUUUGCGGUUUCCGUCUAUUAUACCGACUAGAAACUUGGUCGUUAAUUUUUUAUUAUCAAUUUUAUUCCAAAAAGCUAUCUCGUGGUCGGGGAACAACGACAUCCCAAAACACAUCCAAAAUUCAAAGAGAGAAAAGAGGAGAGAGUAGAUCUGAACUCCGCCUUCGCCGGCGAAAUUCGUCCGUCGACGGAGCAGCUCCCGGCGCAGCACCACCGGCCUUCUUCGAACUCCACCGUCCGUUGUAGCACACUAACCGGCGCAGAACCACCGUCCGUGUAGCACACUCACCGACGCAGCAGUUACCGCCGCAACACCACCGCCCAUAUUCGCAGCAGAUACCAGCGCACCACCGGCCAUCUUCGCUGCAGUUACCUAGCUUCCUCUCCCUUACUAGGUUUCCAUAAAUAGCAGGUUUCGGGUGAAAUGAAAAGGGGAAUUGAGAUUCGUUAUUUUAUAGGAGAUACGUUGCCAAGUGGAGAUUUAUGUUCUCAUCAUCGAACCUUCCCUUUCGGGAAUGGGGACAAAAGUAGGUGUACAGUUAGCCCCCACUUUGACUGAGUCUCGGGAUGAGACGAUGGUCAAAGUACUGGACGGAGUGCGUCACACAAGCCAUAGUGUAUGUGACUUGUUUUGCGAGGGUCUCACGAGCCCCCGAGUGAUAACAUUUGACUUAAGGGUCAUCACUUGAAGUGUCGACAUAUCCCUCACAUGUCAUUGGGAUUUGUCAACGGAUAGUAUAGAAACUCCCUCACUUUGUCAUUGGAAGUAUCUAAAGAGGCGUAGAAACUCCCUCACUUUGUCAUUGGGAGUAGCUACAGAUGUUUUCGAAAUCAAAGCUAUAAAGUGUAAUUGGGCCUGGCCAAGCCCAACCACGAGGUAAAAAUGUUUUUAAAGAUUCUCAUUUUCAGGGUUAGCUAAACGAGAAAACCCCCUUGUUUUCGUAGGACGUAAAACGAAGGAAAAUCCAGCACAUCGCUCUUUUUUGGAAAAAACGGAAAACCAAUCCUUUAAUUUUUGGAAAAGGGAAAACCAGAAAAAGUUAUCGCUGCAGCGACUAAGGACCUGCGCGGUUAGUGGCGCAGACCCCGCCGGCUAAAGAUGGAGAGCCUGUCCGCUAAGGCUGGACGCCCCGUCCGAUAGAAGUGGACGAAUCUGUUUUUGAAAUUUAUAAAUAAGGACCUACGCGGCUUGUGACGUAGACCCCGCCGGCUAAAGAUGGCGAACCUGUCCGCUAAGGGUGGACACCCCGUCCGAUAGAAGUGGACGAAUCUAUUUUGAAAUUUGUUUGUGCUUUUUGAAAAUAAGGACCUACGUGGUUUGUGACGUAGACCCCGCCGGCUAAAGAUGGCGAGCCUGUCCGCUAAGGGUGGACACCCCGUCCGAUAGAAGUGGACGAGUCUGUUUUGAAGUUUUGAAAAUAAGGAUCUACGCGGUUAGUGACGUAGACCCCGCCGGCUGAAGAUGGCGAGCCUGUUUCAUUUUGUUUUUGAAGAUUCUAUUUUUCGAAAACUGAGGAUCUGCGCGGCUAAUGACGCAGACCCCGCCCGCUGAAGGUGGGCGAGCCUGUCCGCUGAGGGUGGACGUCCCUGAAUUCGUUUUUUCGAUUUGAAACUCGCGUGGUUCGUGGCGCGAUCUUGCCAGAUUGAGGUGGGCAAGUCCCUAUUUCUUUUGUUCAUCGUGAUUUCUUUUGAGAAUUUCUUUUUGUUCAUUCUUGUAAGAGCGAAUUCUUUCGAGGGAUGCUCGGAUUUAGUUGCAACCUGAAUGUGGGUUGACAACGUGGUUAGACAGACCAUUGUCUCGUGGUUAUCAUCUUUCCAUGGUUUUGAGCUAGUCUUUACAGCUCAAUUUUUCCACUACCUGGGUCCUAUGUAUAAGUAUCAACGGCGACCUUUGUCUUGAGGUCGUAAUCCGAUUUUAUCUUUUGAGGUUAUCCAAACACGGGAAUUCGUACAGUGUAGUCUGGGAAUAUUGUUUUAACUCUGCGUACUCUCUAUAUAUUUUCUUUCGAGCCCCCAAGAGGUUCUUUGGGGAUACACAUUUUGUAAUGUCCUUGAUUGUGUUUGGGAUCGUGCUCGUAAGUGCGAGCGAUUUUUGUAGUGGUGUGCUAUUCUUAACAAAGCCGUGAGGUGCGACUUUCAGUAAAGAAAUCGGCAAUUUUUGAGUCGAACGGAUACGACAGGGCCCUAUAGAAGUUAGGGCCUUUUUUGAGCCUGGGUUCAUUUUCGGCGCCCAGGCCUGGGCGUUGAAAUAAUUCACGCCCUAGGUUGGGCGUUGAAAAUGUUGUUUGGGCUGGUCUUUUGAUGACACAGUUGGCCUCUUGUUCGUUCGUUUAUUUUACUUGGAAAUUCUACGCAUUCUCUUCUCUUUUUUUUCCUUUUUUUUGGAACGUAGAAUUUUAGAGAUCACAAUUAAAUGAGCUGAUUUUCAGCGCCCAGGGCUGGGCGUUGGAAUAUCUGGCGCCUGGUCCUGGGCGUUGAAAGUGCGUCCUAGGCAGGACUUUCUCGUGAUGAUUUCUCGAGAAGUCGUAGCCGAUUGGUAGACUAUGGUGUUUGUCGCUUUGGGGGCGAUUAUUUAAAUGAACCGUCGUUCUUAAGGCGUACCGUUAUUGCAAUAGUUGGGCGAGUCUAUAUGGCCCGAGAAACAUGCGUUGAGGCGUAAGACUUUGAUUGCUCUUGUUGCUAUUUUGAACAUAUAUUUCUCUUUUGAACGUGUUCGUGAAUGUUCGAUACUUAGAAUGUAUGUGCGAACGAGCAUUCAUAGAAUGGCCGUUGCGUGCGGUCCAUUAAUCAGUUCGCUUGAAUCAUUUUAUUUUUUGAGCAAUGACUGAUACUGAAUAAUUUGCUUAGAAGCUUGAUAGGGUUUAGGCCCAUUCAUGAAGUAGGCUCAAGCAUCGUGCCCUUUUGAUUGUUCAAACAUUUGCUUCAAGAUUUUUUUUAUUUUGCUAUGGUCGUUUCGUAGCUUGGAGCCCCCAAGUAUGCAUGUUGGGAUGCUUCCUUUUGGCGUACGAUUUUUGUUGGUUUUUUCGAGAAAGAUGCCUUGGGGUUCCGCUCGUGUAGGUGCGAGCUAUCCCUUUCGUGGUAAGUAAUAUUUUGCUACCUUUAAUCCUUAAUGUAGAAGUCGUGUGGCUUGCAUUUUGAAUUUGGGCGAUAAGUAGUCUUUGCCUCUUUUACACAUGCUCUUGGUCGUGCCUGCAUUAGUGCAAUAUGCCUUACUCCCCUUUUUUUUAGAUUUGUACCGUGGGACGGUUGAACUUAUGGUGCGACGUAGGCUUGUGUGGCCUAACGACGUGUCUUAGAACAUUCCUCCAGGUGUUGGGAUAUCUUUAUUAUUUUUGCAUUGGAGUACUUCAUCAUGCCUCGUUCAGGUGUUCGAACAAGUGUAGCACCUUCUGCGUGGGUUUGCACGGCUUAUUACUUCGUUCGAUGCGAGGAUUCAUAGGUGUUUCUUUCUUAUUUUUAUAUCUGGGCAAAACUUGGUUAGCAGAAAGAUUCAGCGCCCAGGCUGGGGCGUUAAAGAUAUCGGCGCCCAGCUCUGGGCGUGGAAAAUGAUUUCUGGGUAUAUUUUGACAGUUCUUAUCCUUGAUUUUUUCUUUCGCUUUUGCUUUGGAUUGAGGUAGACUGUGUAACGGGCGCUUGUAGGGCGAGCGUUAUGUGCAGUAGUUUGAUCGGAGUUUUGGUGACUCGCGAUUUUCAGUUACCCUUGUUAGUGGGGUGACUUUAUAUAUUCUAAGUAGUGCUUAGAAUUUGGGAGGGGUUGUAGCCAUUCUAAGGUUUGUUUUACACGAUUGACCUUAGGAUUGUGCCCCUAUGACGUGUGUAUAGCAUUAGCGUCGAGAAUUUGCGGUAACAUCAUCAUUUCGAGCAUUUUUAGAGUGUUUUUCUCAAGCCCCCAACUUAUGGUGUUAUAAUGCUUGGCAUACGUUUUUAUGCAUUCAUGGUGACAUGGAUCAUGAAUAGUUUGAACCAGACUCGUUUAGUGCAAGGUACGUUCGAGUAGUGAUUUGCUACUUCUCUUGUAAAUGUCGUAUUGUUUGACAUUGCGAUGGUCAAGGUAGUCACAUGUUGAAGUGUGCCUUGACCAAAAGCUAGGUGCCUUUCUUUACCCAUAAUCAUAUUUAGAAAUCUUUUUGACUCACUUGCAACAUCGAAGAUAAACACAUACUUAGCUUAAACCAACGACACUUUAUUAUGUUCGAAAAAGUCUUUGAAAAUUAUUUGAAACUUAUUAAAAAUCCGAGUCUUACUGUGUACAAUCCGAGGUGUCCUAAGCAAGUUGACUUAUAGAAGGGUUCGUACAGGAUCACAUGAGUGAAUCAAAAUACUGUUACGAUUUUCGGAAUACUGUCUAAGGAUUUGCUGGAAGCCAGGGUGCAGGCGUCAAGAUAUUACUUGUGCCCGUGUGGUACAUGCUUUGGGCUUUUAGGGCCAUCUUUUCCAGGAUUGCGGGAAUAUAAACCGCUCUCAAACUGACUUAGAUUUACUUGGUGUAUGUCUGUACAAAAGGUCAAGGUAUACUUAGUUCUUUCCCGAGCCCUUUCAUUUUAAUUUUUUAGCCCCCAGUUGCUAUUAUGUCUUCUCAUUAACGAUGCUUUUAGAUUUCGAUUUUAGAUGCCCGUGUCAUAUGUCUGAGUAGGGUGAGCCUUGGUUAAGUGCCAAGUCCUAUUGACAAUGUCUGUUUUUUUUCAAAGGGGAUUCGCAAACAUUUGAAUUACCAUGAACGGGUGCCCUGAGUUCGAAGGAUCGAUGGGGCGAUGCCGUAGAACAAUCCUCUUUAUUACAAGCUUACUGCUUUUACUACUUGUUGGCGAUUAUGACUGUGUCUAGUGGUGAAAGAAGGUCUUUAAGCGAACGACUAGGUCUAGUGGUGAAAGAAGGUCUUUAAGUGAGUUAGUUCGCUUUAGGGAGGGUCAAGUCGAGUAUUUUAGAGGUCAUGGACGCUUGCGCUAGCCCCCAUUCAAUUGAGGCAAAGCGAUCUUUUGAGUCUUGGCUAAGUGCCUAGGAGUGUGAGUGCUCCUUCUGGCAAGGGUACGUGCCCUUAUUAUUUUUCGAUGUAUGCUCGUUUUGGCAUCUUGAUGACUUGGAUUCUUCCUUUGACUUAAAUUUUUCUUUCGACUUGGGUUGCAAGUAAUUAAAUUUCAAUAAGGGACUCUAUUUCUUAUUCUUGUUAUUUUAUAGGCUCUAACAUCUUUGCAAAUUGGUUGGACCGAAUCAUGGAUUGCCUACGUAUCCGCCUUAAAUAGAUUUAAUUUGGAAUCAGGUCUUGCGUAGUUCUUAGCCAGAAAAUGGUUUCUUAGAAUGCCGAAUUCGAUAAGUUUGUUCUGAGAUGGAAACAUAUUAUUUGAAACGGUAGAAUAAGUGAGGUUUAUUAUUAUUUUAAUCUGCUGCUUUUCCGUAAGCCAAAAAUUUGUUUUGUAAUAUUUUUUUUGAGUACAUGUAUUUGCACAAAAAUCUUUUCAUGUGUUUUUUGGUACGUAUAUCUGAAUACGUGUUGUACCCCUCCAAGUGUUCGUUAUUUUUCCGUGUAUGUGCGGAUAAAAUGACGAGCACUUCUGGACAAAAUUUGGCAAGCAUAGAGAAUCAGCGCCUGGGCUGGGGCGUUAAAGAUUUCGGCGCCGAGCUCUGGGCGUUGAAAGUGAUUUCUGGGCGGAUCUUCUUUGGCGCGCAAAAUGCUUCUUUUUCUUUUUAGACGAACUUUUAAAGGCGCUUUGCAAAGUUUGUUUUUUUAUUAUUUAUUAUUUUUUUGUACUUUUCAUUUGUCUUCUUUUUUAUUCGUGACUCAAGACGGCUUGAAAGAUGGGUUGAAUGCGAUAGGAUAAUUUGUAUAGGUAUUUAGUCAAGCAUGAGGAUUACAUCAACCAAGGCUAAUGAAUAGCAUAGGGACGGCUUCAAGGAUGUAUCCACAUAAGUUAUAUGGUCAUUAUACUAAUGGUGGUGUAAUAAUGGGUAUGACGCACGUGUCAACGGUCGUACGUGGUUUGCAGUUGAUAACAAGUUCAAGAACAAGAGUCGAGUUAAUGGUUUCUUGGGUUAUGGCGGUGAGAACAUGGAUGGGUUAAAUGAGCUGAACAGGGGCCCCGGAGCGAAGGCGUCUAAGAACAUAAGGAUUGGAAAGGGUAGACAUCGUAGAACUUUAUGUAGUUUUUGUGACAUGAUUUGGAUUGUUUGACUCAAUUCUUUUCCUUCGUUUACUUGGGAAAAUUUCGCACUUUGGGAGGUACGGGCUAGGUAUUUCAUGGCUUGCUCUCUCCGCUCUCCCUUUUCUCUUUCUAUUUUCUCUUUUUGCUUGGGAUUUCUCCCCAACAUAUUAUUUUUUAUUUGGGCUAAAAGGUAGAUGGUUGUGGUCUUUGAGUCACGAGGCGAGACUGAGUGAGCCUCGUUUGGUAGGCUAUAGUGGACCUUUAACUUUAGUAGGCCUAGGGUGGACCUUUUAAUUGUCUUACUUUGCAAGCGUAUUUAGUCGUUUCUUAAAAUGUGCAAAUAGCGUAGAUUCAAAAUGUUAUUUUUACCUUAUUGAAUUUUAACGAAAGAAUUACAUCGAAAAUAAUUUUUUGUUUCUUUUCAGAUUCUAAUUUUCGGGAUUUAAUUGGAAGUUGUUAUUUAGGCUCGAACUUUCAUUAAUCUUUCUGAUUAUAACCCGUGUAUGAAUACAAGGAGGUGGCCUAGACUCAAAAUAAUGACGUGGCGUAAGCCUAUAAUACUUGACCAAGCUACUCUCAGACUUAGGCUAAUUGGACCACAACUUCCGUUGGUUGACACUUUAGAUUUUAACCCUUGGGUGUUCAUUUGUUACGCGCCAUUUUGCUUAAUGUUGGCAAGGUAGUUAGUUGGGGAGAUCGAAUUUUUAUUUUUGCAAGACUAGAAUCAUUAGUGCGGCUUCCCUCUUAGUGUGUAUUGCUUUACCCCAAUGGUAUCCUUAUGGCAUGCCGAUUUGGGUAUUUUCAUGGUUCGUCAUGUUUUAUUCAUGGAAAAUCUUUUAGUCCGUACUUAGGAAUACUUCAAGGAGCGAGUGGCUCGAGAGGACUAUGAUAGUCGUGACCCAAUAUGAUCAUAAGCCUUGAGGCCAUUAAUUUUUUCUUUGCCAAUGGUAUUGAUACCUUAGGCUCACUUUGGGGGUUGUGCGACUAUGGGGGAAUGAUUUUCAGAAUGUGACUGUUUCCAUUUUGCAAAUACUUGAAUUACAUAAUAUAUUCUUUUUAUUGGUGAGAGAGAGUAUUGGAGCCGUAGAUUCUUAGCAAUGGAUGACAAUUACAUAUGGGUGCUUAUUGAUUUAAAUGUUAGGAAGGGAGACUCAAUAUGGUUUAACCUUUUAACUUGCAGAACGACACCAAGCAUUAGGACCGAUUCUAUGGAUAAGACAACUAACACUUAGGAUUUAGAUUGUACUUUGGCAUAGCCUAGUCUAGACUCGGAUUUAUUUUUUAUUCGAACAUUAUUUUUCCUUGAAGACUCUAUUUGAACAUUAUUUUUUGAAUACUUUACCCAUGUGACAUUCAAGGUUAUUUAAUUAGCAUGCUCGGUUUUGGUGCCGAACAUUGUCGUCAUAGGAGGCCUAACAAUGACACAAAGAGUUAUUUAUUUUUAUAUAUUUUUUUAGUCGCUUUUAGAAUCGAGCGCCUUUCAUACGCCCUUGCAGCAAUCUUUACGAAUAGUUUUUGCUACGUAUAUUUUUUAUGCGCAGGCACCGAGGCUGCUGCGCCUGACCAAAAGGCCAGGCAGCAACUCCAGCGCCCAGCGUAGGGCGUGAGAAAUAAUGGCGCCCAGCCAGGGGCGUUGAAAAUGCGUCCCUGGCUGGUGCUCGUUUUCUUGUUUGCGUAUGUUUUUUGUUUAUGCGACUUUGAUUUUGCGUGUUUGCCUAAUAACGUCCUUUACGCGUCACAACUUUUGUGGGAUUCGUUACGGGCCAUCCCGAGCGUCGCUUAUUUUUGUGGCGAUCGUUCGGGUUUGCGGAACACGUAUUUUGGUAUAACUCUUUGGCCAAUUGGUUUAUGAAUGUUUGGGAAAUUUUUAAGGUCGUUGAUUUUCUAGCAUUAUUCGUCACACACAAUCACAUAAUUCGCUACACAUAACUAACAUUACAUCAUGAGGCAAAAUAAUAUAAAUAAUAAUAUGUCAUGUAGUUUAUGAUAGGCUUCUAUGGGUAGUAUUUGCGCCUAGCUUGGUACCGCCUCUAUCGCAGAUCCAACACAUGCCCCGGUCGAGGUAGUGCCUUCAACAGACGAAUUUCGCCCAAGAGGCCAAUCACGAUGUAAGCCAAGGGGGCAUGCACCAAUGAGAGGGACCUAAUGGGCGAGCGAUUGGGUUUGGGACGGGUGUACUACUAGCGAAAGUGCCGAGUGGACAACAUUCGAAGCGUAUGCACCCCCCGGUUGGCGAUGGGUAUCCUUAGUCCUAACUCCCUGAGGGAGCCAAGAUUCGUUAUGCGGUUCUGUUCGUUCACAUUAAUAUGCUGAUUUUCAGGUCGUCCCAACUUGAUGGGGAAAUAAACACGGGGUAGGAUCGUUUCACCCUUCGGCUAUUUUGAUUACCUACAAGCACGAGUAUUUCCUUCACUAUCCCCAGUGGAGUCGCCACUGUGAGGGGGUCGAAAAAGCACGAGGCUAAUGCGUGACCUUGUCCCUCGUGGGUGUGACGUUUCUUUUUGUCAAAUCAAGUGUAAUUAGAUUUCCUAUGAGUUUACACCCAAUUGACUAGUAAUAUAGGAUUCGCCAUUCAGUUUUUAACAACAAUGAGAAAAACUGACAAAACCCGGUUAUCGUGACAUAAAGGCAGUGCAAUUAUGUUUGACCACGACGGCCGUAGGUUCCCUUGUGAUCCCUGGUGUGGGGAUCUCUCAACAUACACCCGAAAGGUAGAGAUUGAGGGUUCGGGGGACUGUAACUACCGAGAGGAGUACUCGAUCUUCAAUAACUCCAGAGGCAGGAUAUCCUUAUUAGCUCAGCAUAAAUAAUUGAAGGGACAUGCGUUAACUAUUAAACUAAUAUGAGUUGAUUUUAACAAUAUGCAACAUAUAGUACUAGAUCGAACGCGAUUAUCUGAUUUAGAUUGUUUUAAGGGACCUAGCAUGAUAAUCCAAUUUCCCAACAUAUUAUCUUUAUUAGGCGUGAUAGAACAGUCAGAUUUAAUUAGUUUAACAGUUCAUAAAAGGGCGAGGAAAGCAAUUAAACCAUGGAAGAGGGACACAUUAUGACGCACCCUUGAGAGGUGCGUCACGGUUCUCAGAAAACUAACCACUUUGACUUUGCUAUUUCUCCUUUUAUUUAACGAAUCUCAAAUUAUAGGACAGGAUACGUUCUGUUCGAUUUUUGGAUCGAUUGCGACAGAACGCGUGAUCAGUUUUGCAGCGUGAGGCUUAGGCUUAGGGGUUAGAGUCAAUACUCAGAAUAAUGAAUUGUGUGUUGUUCACGUCGAAUUUGGGGCUGUAUUUAUAGGGAAGUGUUCGUGGAAAGAUAGAAUUGUAGAGCUCUAAUCCAAGAAGAAUUAGGAGAGAACACGUCCCAAGUAUUUUCAGCGCCCAGGGCUGGGCGUUAAAGAUUUCCGCGCCCAGCUCUGGGCGUUGAAAAUGGGAUCCAGGCAAUUUCAGCGCCCAGGGCUGGGCGUUGAAAAUGAUGUUUGGGCCGAGUUCUUUGUCAGAUUUGGACCCUUAGAAUCCGGAGUGUUUGAGACUUAUCCGAGUCUUUUAGUGCGUAUUAACUUUGUGACGGAAUGCGUCUGGGCCCGUUACAAACUCUAGGUUCGUUAGGAUUUUAAUUAAUACGUAACUCUUAUUUUUGAAUCGUAUUAGGAAUAGGAUUCUCUCGCAAUUUCUAUCUCAUUUAGGAUUUAUGUUGGAGUGCAACACCUAAUUCUGACAGGUUUCUAUCUUUUAUGACUUGCCACUUUUAACAACUACCCAUUACGACAGUUACUAUUUUUAGCAGGUUUCCAUAAAUAGCAGGUUUCGGGUGAAAUG